rnacentral:rRNA from 1 species
KYYGMGWWGRCCCUUAGAGUUUGAUCCUGGCUCAGAACGAACGCUGGCGGCGUGCUUAACACAUGCAAGUCGAACGUGAUCCAGGGCUUGCUCUGGUGAAAGUGGCGCACGGGUGAGUAACGCGUGGAUAACCUGCCCUGGUAUCUGGGAUAACAUCUCGAAAGGGGUGCUAAUACCGGAUAAGCCUACGGGAUCUUCGGAUUCUGCAGGAAAAGGAGGCCUCUAUUUAUAAGCUUCCGUAUCAUGAUGGGUCCGCGUACCAUUAGCUAGUUGGUGGGGUAAUGGCCUACCAAGGCGACGAUGGUUAGCUGGUCUGAGAGGAUGAUCAGCCACACUGGAACUGAGACACGGUCCAGACUCCUACGGGAGGCAGCAGUGGGGAAUUUUGCGCAAUGGGGGAAACCCUGACGCAGCAACGCCGCGUGAGUGAUGAAGGCUUUCGGGUCGUAAAGCUCUGUCAGAGGGGAAGAAAUGGGUCGUGCUAAUAUCACGGCUUCUUGACGGUACCCUCAAAGGAAGCACCGGCUAACUCCGUGCCAGCAGCCGCGGUAAUAC